rnacentral:rRNA from 1 species
GUGGGGAAUAUUGCGCAAUGGACGAAAGUCUGACGCAGCGACGCCGCGUGAGUGAUGAAGGCCUUAGGGUCGUAAAGCUCUGUUGAAUGGGAAGAAAAAAAUGACGGUACCAUUCGAGGAAGGACCGGCUAACUUCGUGCCAGCAGCCGCGGUAAUACGAGGGGUCCUAGCGUUGUUCGGAAUCAUUGGGCGUAAAGGGUGUGUAGGUGGCCAUGUAAGUCAGGUGUGAAAGCCCCGGGCUCAACCCGGGAAGUGCACUUGAUACUGCGUGGCUUGAGUACCGAAGAGGGAAGUGGAAUUCCAGGUGUAGUGGUGAAAUACGUAGAUAUCUGGAGGAACACCGGUGGCGAAGGCGGCUACCUGGUCGAGUACUGACACUGAGACACGAAAGCAUGGGGAUCAAACAGGAUUAGAUACCCCGGUAGUCC